rnacentral:rRNA from 1 species
AUUGAACGCUGGCGGCAGGCCUAACACAUGCAAGUCGAGCGGAUGAAGGGAGCUUGCUCCCUGAUUCAGCGGCGGACGGGUGAGUAAUGCCUAGGAAUCUGCCUGAUAGUGGGGGACAACGUUUCGAAAGGAACGCUAAUACCGCAUACGUCCUACGGGAGAAAGCAGGGGACCUUCGGGCCUUGCGCUAUCAGAUGAGCCUAGGUCGGAUUAGCUAGUUGGUGAGGUAAUGGCUCACCAAGGCGACGAUCCGUAACUGGUCUGAGAGGAUGAUCAGUCACACUGGAACUGAGACACGGUCCAGACUCCUACGGGAGGCAGCAGUGGGGAAUAUUGGACAAUGGGCGAAAGCCUGAUCCAGCCAUGCCGCGUGUGUGAAGAAGGUCUUCGGAUUGUAAAGCACUUUAAGUUGGGAGGAAGGGCAUUAACCUAAUACGUUAGUGUUUUGACGUUACCGACAGAAUAAGCACCGGCUAACUUCGUGCCAGCACG